AUGCUUCUUGCAGCUGCACAUGCCAGAGAGCC
rnacentral:scRNA from 1 species